AAUAAUAUAGCUCGUAUUAGCAGUACUGUUAUAAUUUUAUUUUGUAUGUCGUGAAUUUAUUUGUCUUGACAACAGAAAGUCUUGGGACUAGCUGGAAAGUGGACUUCAGCUGAGUAGCACUAGAGCUAAAUUAGAUGACCCUGAAAAGAGAAAUAACUAUGAAAGGAGUAGAACAGCGAGUUGGCAACAGAUCUGCUGUGAAAGUUGUGAUACUUUAAAGGACAAAUAUUCUGCUGUGCUUUUCAAAACUUCAAAACAGGAGUUUUUCAAUAUUUGAUGAAUUUGCCCCGCUCGGAUUAUAUUUGUGUGUACUUCUGGAGGAAAAGGUAUUAUCCAUUAAAGAUGCUUUGCACCAUUACA
rnacentral:lncRNA from 1 species